rnacentral:rRNA from 1 species
AUUGAACGCUGGCGGCAUGCUUUACACAUGCAAGUCGAACGGUAACAGGCCGCAAGGUGCUGACGAGUGGCGAACUGGUGAGUAAUGCAUCGUAACGUGCCCAGUCGUGGGGGAUAACUACUCGAAAGAGUAGCUAAUACCGCAUACGAUCUAUGGCUGAAAGCGGGGGACCGUAAGGCCUCGCUCGAUUGGAACGCUCGAUGUCCGAUUAGGUAGUUGGUGGGGUAAUGGCGCACCAAGCCAACGAUCUGUAGCUGGUCUGAGAGGACGACCAGCCACACUGGGACUGAGACACGGCCCAGACUCCUACGGGAGGCAGCAGUGGGGAAUUUUGGACAAUGGGCGCAAGCCUGAUCCAGCAAUGCCGCGUGCAGGAAGAAGGCCUUCGGGUUGUAAACUGCUUUUGUACGGAACGAAACGGCUCUGGUUAAUACCCGGGGCUAAUGACGGUACCGUAAGAAUAAGCACCGGCUAACUACGUG